AGGACGAACGCUGGCGGCGUGCUUAACACAUGCAAGUCGAACGGUGACCCACCCUUCGGGGUGGUGAGCAGUGGCGAACGGGUGAGUAACACGUGAGCAACCUGCCCUUGGCUCUGGAAUAACCCCGGGAAACCGAGGCUAAUACCGGAUACGACCUCUUGCGGCAUCGCUUGAGGUGGAAAGUUUUUCGGCCAAGGAUGGGCUCGCGGCCUAUCAGCUUGUUGGUGGGGUAAUGGCCUACCAAGGCGACAACGGGUAGCCGGCCUGAGAGGGCGACCGGCCACACUGGGACUGAGACACGGCCCAGACUCCUACGGGAGGCAGCAGUGGGGAAUAUUGCGCAAUGGGCGAAAGCCUGACGCAGCGACGCCGCGUGAGGGAUGACGGCCUUCGGGUUGUAAACCUCUUUCGGCAGGGAUGAAGCCUUCGGGUGACAGUACCUGCAAAGAAGCACCGGCUAACUACGUGCCAGCAGCCGC
rnacentral:rRNA from 1 species